UCGACAGUUUUCAUUAAACAAAACUUUAAACUACCGAACUAUGUCGUUUUUAAUAUUAACACAUUCUCAGUAUUGGUGUAAAAUGAGUUCAAAGUACGAACGGUACUGGCAUUUUGUGUUAAAAUUGCUGAAUUCGGCCAUUUCAGACUCAAAAUUCGCUUAUUAGCAACCCUUGCUCCGGUUAACAAUUUAUAACAGCUAUUAAAAUUGUUAAUUCCAUUUAAUAUUUUCCUAACCAGAAACCGGAGCAAGGGUUGCUAAUAAACGAAUUUUGGAAAAAAACGAUAAUAUUUGUUUGGCCUUUUUCACGUAUACGAGUAGCCUCCCUUGAAGCUAGGUGCUCGUUGCCAUGCAAUAUUAUAGGUGGCGUCACUGUCAACAUGUGGAUGUGAAAACGAAAGUAGAUUAUUUAUCGUGGAAUAAUUACAAUUGUUUACCCUUCUACGUGGAAUUUAUAUGGUAAUGGUAUGAAUUGAGAUGAUUUAUUUAGUUACCUUCAACUGGUCAGUGGUCAACAAGAGAGUAUUACUGUGUGUCUUGAAACAUUGAAUGCCCCAAAACAACCAGUAUGAUAAGAAGGCCAGAAUAUACAGCUUCCCAAAAUGUUGAAAGACUAAGCAGUUUUUUCUAAGGACUUGUAUACUAUCUAUGUUGAAAUUAGCCAUGGACAAUGAAUUUGGAGGUGCAUGCUGGAGCAUCAGAAAUUACAGACUUGGAAUAGAUAUUUGCAUAAUAUACAAGUAACAUUUACUGAAAAAUGACUAAUGUUUAUGUUAAUAAAGUGCAAUAUCCAUGCUUGUAACAUUUACAUGGGGGUAAUAGUUACAGUGUUGAAAGAGACUGCCAGUGUUACAUUUCAAUCUAAGUUACAGUGUGGAUGCUAAUUCUAAAUUCUUGAUAGUCAAGUGUUUUUAGUAACUUAUGGAUACUAAUUAUUUAUCAAACUGUUUAAUUUAUCACAUUCCUACAUCAUUAUUUUACAUAAAAUGUUUGUGGUUAUAUAAUAUAUGUUUAUAUGGUAAUAAAUUUUGUUUCUGUGUAAAUAUCUUUGUUUUUGAAAAAUGAAAAUGAAACAUUCAGUGACCAUCUUCUGUCAACAAGUUAUUAUAAAUGCAACAAAACUGAUGAAAAGUUAUCCAAUUACUUUUCACAGGUUAAUAUUGAAUAGCAGAAUACACAUAACAUUGUGUAGUUUUCCUAACUUGUAUCUGAGGCCAUUAUAAAUUAAUUGCUAGAUUAAAUUUUCUUCACAAGGGUAAGAAUUUUUUUUUUAUUUCAGAUAUAUUUUAUUUUUGUUUGAUGAAGAUUUCAAUAGAAAUAAUGACAUGUAAUAGUUAUUUUUGUCAAAUAGAUUUGAUUAUAAGGAAUAACAACUGAAAGAAAAUAAUUUAUUACAUUCUUUAUAGAAGUUUUCCAUACUAAAAAUGGUAAGGGGAGGCAUAAAAAUAGUGGGAGUGGAUGAUAAUCUAUCAAUUAAUAUAGUAUGGCCUUACAUAUAUAAAUCAAUAAAUAUUUACUGUACUGGCAAUAAUAUUGAUUAGGUAUGAUGCAGCUAUAUGUUAAAUAUAUAUUUUUAAAAUGGUGAUUUGUUAUGAGAAAAUAAGCUGAUAUAUACAGUCUAGAGUCUU
rnacentral:lncRNA from 1 species